GGACUAAUGGGAGGAAAUUACAUGGAGAGAUUUCAUCUCAGCUUGAGGAAACACGUCUACCAGUCAGAGCUGGCCAACCAUGGCCUGCCCAGGCUGCCAACAGAGGCAGUGAGCUCCCUGUCACCAGAGGUGUGCGAGCAGAGUUCCCUUCCUUCCCAAGGGAGGGAAGCUGUAGAGGAGGGUUUUUACCCAUGAGGCCCCUUGGAGGCCGUGGGCAGUUCCUUCUGCUUCCAUGCCGCUCUCCUCCCCACAUGGCUUGGUGGAGUCCACUGCAGGCAUGGGAGCUACGGCCGCCUCGGAGUACAUUCUUACAUGGCAUAUCUAUCCAUGUUCUGUGAGGGCCUUGGAGAUGCUGGGGAAGGCGGGACUCCUGGAAGAACUGAUGCUCCCACAUGGGGCUACUCCUGGUUCCUGCAGCCUGUGUUUGCAUGGAAAACAAGCUUUCCUGGUGGAUGUUUUCACAGCAUAUGUGAGGAUUAGCAAAUACCAGAUCUCCACUUACCUGCUUGGAGCUCCCCCCGCCAUCACCACACAAUUCCUUGCAGGGUUGGAUUGUUACCAUCACAAGCAAUACUGUAACAACAUCCCUUUUUCCUGGUGGCUAUGAGAGGGACACUUGUGCACCUGAGGAUUAGACCCCAAAGGGCAUUUGGUCAGUGCCUUUGCCUGGAGCUGAGUUUGGACACCCUGCAUCUCCUGGGUUCCCUGUCCUUUGACCCCUGAGGUGUUGUGCAUGAACAUCAGCAACCUUGAUCAUCAGAAAGAAGCUUCCUCUGGACUGCUGGCUUCUUUGUUUGUUGCACUUAUCAGAAGGGAGGAGGGAAGAAGCCUCAGUCACCAUGCUACAAAUCUGGUGGGAGAGAUGGAAGCCCCUUUGGAGCUCAGGAGAGCUGCUUCAGGCCCCUGGUGCAGGCAAAGUUGGAUCCAGUUCAAUCCCAGUGCAGAAAUGUUAUCUGAGUUAGGUUGUGUGCCUGUGUGUGUCUCUCUCUGGGGUUAUGUCUAAAUCUUGAAUGUUUUCUCUGAUGUGUUCAUAGUUACCAUCCUAAUGCUUAGCACAAAGUGCCUAACAGAUCCUUGUUGAGUACAUGAAUAAUGAACUUAAGCCCUUAGAAGUUGUCUGCAAGAUGAGCUCAGGAUGCUUACUCCCUGGAUAUGGGGGAUAGGCUGCCCGGCCAGCUAUUUAGCUGUUUGAGACUCUUCUCUGCACUGCUGUAGCUGUGGGGUCUGGGGCCCCCACCAGGAACAACCUCUGUACAGCCUCAGAUGUGCAAAAGGGCCCUGGGGAAGGCUCUGCCGCCUAUGCUGGGGUUACCCUGGGACAGACCUAACCGCGGAGGGGAGUGUGGAGAGGGGGCACCGGCUUCCCCCUUCUCGAGGUGGAGCUGGAGGGAGUGGAGCGGGAGCUGGCGCCCAAGGUCUGGGGGCAGCACGAGCUCCGAGCUCCGAGCAAGGCUAAGCUCUGUCCAAUAUCCCAUCACCCACCGGCCCUAACUUGCUAGCUCUGCAGUAAUACUGGAACUGGGGGGAGGGGAGGCUGGGAGGGAGGAAGAGAAUUUUAAUCCUUUCAGACUCAAAUCUUAACUUCUCAUUUCUUUCAUGAUACCCGC
rnacentral:lncRNA from 12 species